UAUCCUGUCUGAAUAUGGGGGGACCAUCCUCCAAGGCUAAAUACUCCUGACUGACCGAUAGUGAACCAGUACCGUGAGGGAAAGGCGAAAAGAACCCCGGCGAGGGGAGUGAAAAAGAACCUGAAACCGUGUACGUACAAGCAGUGGGAGCACGCUUAGGCGUGUGACUGCGUACCUUUUGUAUAAUGGGUCAGCGACUUAUAUUCUGUAGCAAGGUUAACCGAAUAGGGGAGCCGAAGGGAAACCGAGUCUUAACUGGGCGUUAAGUUGCAGGGUAUAGACCCGAAACCCGGUGAUCUAGCCAUGGGCAGGUUGAAGGUUGGGUAACACUAACUGGAGGACCGAACCGACUAAUGUUGAAAAAUUAGCGGAUGACUUGUGGCUGGGGGUGAAAGGCCAAUCAAACCGGGAGAUAGCUGGUUCUCCCCGAAAGCUAUUUAGGUAGCGCCUCGUGAAUUCAUCUCCGGGGGUAGAGCACUGUUUCGGCAAGGGGGUCAUCCCGACUUACCAACCCGAUGCAAACUGCGAAUACCGGAGAAUGUUAUCACGGGAGACACACGGCGGGUGCUAACGUCCGUCGUGAAGAGGGAAACAACCCAGACCGCCAGCUAAGGUCCCAAAGUCAUGGUUAAGUGGGAAACGAUGUGGGAAGGCCCAGACAGCCAGGAUGUUGGCUUAGAAGCAGCCAUCAUUUAAAGAAAGCGUAAUAGCUCACUGGUCGAGUCGGCCUGCGCGGAAGAUGUAACGGGGCUAAACCAUGCACCGAAGCUGCGGCAGCGACGCUGAUGCGUUGUUGGGUAGGGGAGCGUUCUGUAAGCCUGUGAAGGUGUGCUGUGAGGCAUGCUGGAGGUAUCAGAAGUGCGAAUGCUGACAUAAGUAACGAUAAAGCGGGUGAAAAGCCCGCUCGCCGGAAGACCAAGGGUUCCUGUCCAACGUUAAUCGGGGCAGGGUGAGUCGACCCCUAAGGCGAGGCCGAAAGGCGUAGUCGAUGGGAAACAGGUUAAUAUUCCUGUACUUGGUGUUACUGCGAAGGGGGGACGGAGAAGGCUAUGUUGGCCGGGCGACGGUUGUCCCGGUUUAAGCGUGUAGGCUGGUUUUCCAGGCAAAUCCGGAAAAUCAAGGCUGAGGCGUGAUGACGAGGCACUACGGUGCUGAAGCAACAAAUGCCCUGCUUCCAGGAAAAGCCUCUAAGCAUCAGGUAACAUCAAAUCGUACCCCAAACCGACACAGGUGGUCAGGUAGAGAAUACCAAGGCGCUUGAGAGAACUCGGGUGAAGGAACUAGGCAAAAUGGUGCCGUAACUUCGGGAGAAGGCACGCUGAUAUGUAGGUGAAGCGACUUGCUCGUGGAGCUGAAAUCAGUCGAAGAUACCAGCUGGCUGCAACUGUUUAUUAAAAACACAGCACUGUGCAAACACGAAAGUGGACGUAUACGGUGUGACGCCUGCCCGGUGCCGGAAGGUUAAUUGAUGGGGUCAGCGCAAGCGAAGCUCUUGAUCGAAGCCCCGGUAAACGGCGGCCGUAACUAUAACGGUCCUAAGGUAGCGAAAUUCCUUGUCGGGUAAGUUCCGACCUGCACGAAUGGCGUAAUGAUGGCCAGGCUGUCUCCACCCGAGACUCAGUGAAAUUGAACUCGCUGUGAAGAUGCAGUGUACCCGCGGCAAGACGGAAAGACCCCGUGAACCUUUACUAUAGCUUGACACUGAACAUUGAGCCUUGAUGUGUAGGAUAGGUGGGAGGCUUUGAAGUGUGG
rnacentral:rRNA from 1 species